AUGCACGCUGGCGGCGUGCCUCAUACAUGCAGGUCGAGCGAACAGAUGAGGAGCUUGCUCCUCUGACGUUAGCGGCGGACGGGUGAGUAACACGUGGAUAACCUACCUAUAAGACUGGGAUAACUUCGGGAAACCGGAGCUAAUACCGGAUAAUAUAUUGAACCGCAUGGUUCAAUAGUGAAAGACGGUUUUGCUGUCACUUAUAGAUGGAUCCGCGCCGCAUUAGCUAGUUGGUAAGGUAACGGCUUACCAAGGCAACGAUGCGUAGCCGACCUGAGAGGGUGAUCGGCCACACUGGAACUGAGACACGGUCCAGACUCCUACGGGAGGCAGCAGUAGGGAAUCUUCCGCAAUGGGCGAAAGCCUGACGGAGCAACGCCGCGUGAGUGAUGAAGGUCUUCGGAUCGUAAAACUCUGUUAUUAGGGAAGAACAAAUGUGUAAGUAACUAUGCACGUCUUGACGGUACCUAAUCAGAAAGCCACGGCUAACUACGUG
rnacentral:rRNA from 1 species